GUGGGGAAUAUUGGACAAUGGGCGAAAGCCCGAUCCAGCCAUGCCGCGUGUGUGAAGAAGGUCUUCGGAUUGUAAAGCACUUUAAGUUGGGAGGAAGGGCAGUAAGUUAAUACCUUGCUGUUUUGACGUUACCGACAGAAUAAGCACCGGCUAACUUCGUGCCAGCAGCCGCGGUAAUACGAAGGGUGCAAGCGUUAAUCGGAAUUACUGGGCGUAACGCGCGCGUAGGGGGUUUUGUAAGUUGGAGGUGAAAUCCCCGGGCUCAACCUGGGAACUGCCUCCAAAACUGCAUGACUAGAGUACGGUAGAGGGUAGUGGAAUUUCCUGUGUAGCGGUGAAAUGCGUAGAUAUAGGAAGGAACACCAGUGGCGAAGGCGACUACCUGGACUGAUACUGACACUGAGGUGCGAAAGCGUGGGGAGCAAACAGGAUUAGAAACCCCAGUAGUCC
rnacentral:rRNA from 1 species